GCGCCCGUAGCUCAACUGGAUAGAGCGUCGGACUUCGAAUCCGCCGGUUAGAGGUUCGAAUCCUCUCGGGCGUG
rnacentral:tRNA from 1 species